UUCCAAUCRUUUGUUUUGUAGUUAAAGAAAGAAGAAGAAGACUUAAAACUUGAAGAAGAAGCUUAUUACGAGGCUAAACGAGAAGCUUCAAGGGCUGCUAGACAAGCCAAGGAAAGUGAGGAAAAGAGGGCAGCUCAAAACAAGAAGCACAGGGGUAGUUCGAAGAUGUCAGACAGUAUAUCAGUUUCUUCGUGGCUCUCAGAUGAUGGACUAAGCCUUGAUAGUGCUGAUCUUGAUGCUGAAGACUUUGAUUCCUUCCUCGAGAAAGUCAAAGCAAGAUCUUUAUCAUCAAAACAAGGUAAAAGACAAAUU